AAAAAGGAAAAAGCACCCGUAGAAUUGUCGACCAGAAAUCGGGGGGAGGCGGACAGUUGUCGGGGACCGCGUCGCACCGGCCACACGCCCCGCCUCGGCGCCUCCGCCGCUCGGCCCAUGUCCACAAAAAGAAACCGAGGGAGGGCGUGACCGUGCAGAACACGACGGAACCCUUGAAACCCCCCACGUCCAACGUCCAAUCCUUCCGAUUUCGGUUUCAUCCUCAUCCGCAAUCCUCAGCAUUCCGUGUCGGGAAGCCCUUACACCUCGAUCUACAUGGCGGGGGUUUCGGAUCUUGCGGUGUCGCGCGGGUGGGGGCGGGGCUGGACGGUCGCUGGUGUGGGGAAAGGGUCGGGUGUUCGUGCUAUUGCGCUUCUCGAUCCGAGCGCUAGAUGGAGGGUUCCGGUCCGUCUUCAGGAUUACACAUGCCAUGUUGGUCGAUUUUCUCUACAUGAUCCAAAGAUAAAAUAUGCUUCAUCUCAUCAAAGAUUACAUGCGCGCAUGGCGUUAGUUGAUGAUAAAAUUGUUCAGCCACCUAAUGUUGUGAAACCUAACUUAGCGCUGGCAUAUGAUCUGGUCCAAGGAAGCCUUGUAAGUUGGAAUUCUUUUACGGACAAGUCAAUACCUGAUCCACCAACUGCUGUUCUCCUGCAUGGAAUUCUUGGUUCCAGGAAGAACUGGGGGUCUUUUGCUAAGAGAUUGGCGCAAGAGUUUCCGACGUGGCAGUUUCUUUUAGUUGACUUGCGUUGCCAUGGUGAAUCGGCAUUGAUAAAGAAAAAUGGGCCUCAUACUGUUGCCUCAGCUGCACUUGACGUUUUAAAGCUUGUUGCACAACUUAGAGUGACACCUCGUGUCUUAGUUGGUCACAGCUUUGGCGGAAAAGUGGCCUUAAGUAUGGUAGAACAAGCUGCAAAACCUCUUGCUAGACCUGUCAGGGUUUGGGUUCUUGAUGCUACUCCCGGGAAGGUUCGAGCUGGAGGAGAUGGUGAAGAUCAUCCUGGAGAAUUGAUUGCUUUUUUGAGUAUGAUGCCAAGGCAGGUCUCUUCAAAGCAGAAUGUUGUAGAUGCUCUGAUUCAGGAGGGAUUUUCUAAAGACAUUGCCCGGUGGAUGGCCACAAAUCUCCGGCCAGUUAGUCAACCUGGUUCACCAUCAUCGGGCUUCUCAUGGAUUUUUGACCUCAAGGGCAUUGCUGACAUGUACAAGUCCUACGAAGAAACAAAUUUAUGGGAAACCGUGGAAAAUGUCCCUCGUGGUGUUCAUGUGAAUUUUUUGAAGGCUGAGAGAAGCUUACAUAGAUGGGCUCUUGAAGAUCUUCGAAGAAUUCGUGCUGCAGAAGAAUUGGCUGCAGAUGAGGGAGCUGGGGUUCAGCUACAUGUUCUUGAAGAUGCUGGUCACUGGGUGCAUGCUGACAACCCUGAUGGGCUCUUUAGGAUCCUCUCGUCUUCCUUUCUGGGAUUGAGAACACAAUAGCAGGAACUCACAUGAUUGUAUCAAAAUGGUCACCUUGGGGAGCAACACUGGUUUUCUAAUGCACAAACAAACAUGUUGCUCCAAGUACAUAAUUCCAGAGAGCAGUGAUUAGUAUCAUUAUCUGAUGGUUGUCAUUUGAGACUUCUGCACAAUCAUGCUUCUAAUGCACAAACAUGUUGCACCAAGUACAUAUUUCCAGAGAGAGCAGUGAUUAGUAUCAUUAUGUGAUGGUUGUCAUUUGAGACUGCAGCACAAAUAUUUCUAAUGCACAAACAAACAUGUUGCUCCAAGUACAUAAUUCCAGAGAGCAGUGAUUAGUAUCAUUAUCUGAUGGUUGUCAUUUGAGACUGCAGCACAAAUAUUUCUAAUGCACAAACAAACAUGUUGCUCCAA